rnacentral:rRNA from 1 species
UACAGAGGGUGCGAGCGUUGUUCGGAAUUAUUGGGCGUAAAGGGCGCGUAGGCGGCGCCACAAGUCACUUGUGAAAACUCUGGGCUCAACUCAGAGCCUGCAAGCGAAACUGUGGUGCUGGAGUAUGGGAGAGGUGCGUGGAAUUCCCGGUGUAGCGGUGAAAUGCGUAGAUAUCGGGAGGAAUACCAGUGGCGCAAGCGGCGCCCUGGCCGUGACCUGACACUGAGCCACGACGGCGUGGGGAGCAAACGGG